rnacentral:rRNA from 1 species
GACAGAGGUGGCAAGCGUUAUUCGGAUUUAUUGGGCGUAAAGGGCGCGUAGGCGGCCAGGUGCGUCCGGUGUGAAAGCGCUACCGCUUAACGGAGCGACUGCACUGGAUACGGCUUGGCUUGAGCCGGGAGAGGUGAGUGGAAUUCCUGGUGUAGCGGUGGAAUGCGUAGAUAUCAGGAAGAACACCAGUGGCGAAGGCGGCUCACUGGCCCGGCACUGACGCUGAGGCGCGAAAGCGUGGGGAGCAAACGGG